rnacentral:rRNA from 1 species
AACGUAGGGGGCCAGCGUUGCUCGGAAUUACUGGGCGUAAAGGGUCCGUAGGCGGUGUGGCAAGUCGGUAGUGAAAUCUCUGGGCUUAACUCAGAGGCUGCUGCCGAAACUGCUGUGCUCGAGUGCGAGAGAGGCGAGUGGAAUUGCAGGUGUAGCGGUGAAAUGCGUAGAUAUCUGCAGGAACAUCCGAGGCGAAAGCGGCUCGCUGGAUCGCAACUGACGCUGAGGGACGAAAGCUAGGGGAGCAAACAGG